CUGAAUAUGUAAUUACUUGUCCGUGGAAAGAAGAGGAUUAACAGACCUUGCCCUAAUUGCUUGUUUUUGUCAAGUUGUUAAGAAGGACUUAGGCUCCAGAAACAGAGGGUGUAGCCAGACAGAAGGCAGCCGGAGGAGUUCAAAAGUCUUGUAAUCUUUGGCUCCACAGGCCUAUAAAAAUGGAGUGUUGACUGAGUGCAAACAGCCGGCAGCCUGAGAGGCUCAGGUCCCGGGAAAGAUCGAGGCCGCGUGCUCAUUUGAAAAGGCAGGGGGUUUCAUAACGACCCUGACUAACCUGUUAAUGGAUGGUCCAAUUUGAUUUUCCCCUUCUUCACGAAGGCCAGAUCUGAAGCUGCCUGCCACACAACAAAGCUUUUCUAGGUUCCCAGGUUCCUGGAAUUCAAGACUAAAUGAGGCUUCUUGCAAAGGCUCUGCGUGAAAGAAGCAAAUUAGGAAUUUGAAGGGAUGAUGAUGCCGUUGUAGGAUACUCUCGUUUCCUGGUGUCCCUCUUGAGAUGAAGCACGGAAGGGCCUGUUCAACUCCACUGUUGGAUGUCACAGAACUAUCUAAGAGGUCCCUGGCAACCAGUCCUAAGCAGGAACUGGGAUGAAUUCCUAAGCUAUAGUAAGUAAAUUUAUGAUGUUAACACUUUUGCAAAAACGAAUGUGUUGUUGUUCACCAAAUACAAUUUUUUGGGAGGGGGCGGAGCAUCAUCUACAUUUUUGUUAUGUACAGCUUCCUCAAGUCAGCACCAAAUAGCCCAAGCAGUUUAAAUGUACCCCUUACCAUGAUGCUCUUUUUUGUGCCUGACUGAUGACUCUAAGAGCCUUUUGAAGUAGCAAAUGUCUCGUGUGCCUUCCCCACCACAAGCUUCCUCCCUGUCAUGGGUUACACGCGACAUUCUUCAGCUUGAAGCCAAUCUGACACGUAUUGAUAAAAUACCAUGAAGAUCACAUAACAAUCUGAUAUUCCAUGUAACGGAGUCAACUGAAGUCCAUAGAGAGGCAGAAGGAGGAGAGGAACCACAAAAAUAAUUUUCAGCUCCCAUUGUCUUUUCAGUAGACUACCCCAAAGCAGUGUUUCUCCAUUUGUUCUGCCCUGAGCCAAGCAGAAUCUGUAAGGGAUCCAACUGCAUGGAGCUCCCAGCAGUGAGGUUUACCUCUGAGCUGCUAUAGUGGUCCCACCUGCAUUGCUUCUGAUCCUUCACUGUCAACCAUCCUGCUUUCCAUCCUUCCCUGAUUUACACACCAGGGAAACAAUGUGGAUAUAUCGUCUGUCCCCAAAAUGAUGUUUUUUUUUUUUUUUCAGGUACUCCAGGCUUAAAGCAAACAUCACAACGUGAUCAUCAAUUCUCCAUCAAGGUAACAUUAUCUAUCUCAGCCUCCUGCAUGGGAUACUGUGCUGAGACGGUACACUGAGCCAUGGGUAACAAUGUGGGAUGGUAGAAGGUGAGAAAAAAAUGAAGUAUGGUCGCUAUAAUCAUCAAUCCUAAAGGACUAUGUAAGAGCAUUAUUAUACAACUAACCUGCUUUCAGGAUUCUUCUACUGUAUGCAUCCCUUGAUUGACAGUGACAGCUCAGUCUUCGUGGAAUUACCAGCUAUCUCUUUUGUUAUUUUUAUGGCCGUAUACAGCAUUAAAUCUCCCUACUACAUUUCCCUAAGAGCCUUGGUUUUGCAUUUUUAAAGCAUGAGCUUUCAAUUGCCUUUACACUAUCCACAGAAAUUCUCUUUUAUGUGUCACACCCUUGUACUUCUGCCUCCCUCUCCCUUUAAAGGAAAUACAUGAGGACACAUAUUUCCCAGAUAGCUCAGGUUCAUUGUUGUUGAAGAUUAGCUGGUAAUGUACGUAAACUGCUCAGUUUCAACCUUUGCCCUCUCUUCCAAGUACAAUCUGUUGCGGACGGGCUCCCCAGUCACCAGGGCGCACACUGUGUGUAGGCAUAGAUCCAUUACACAGACAGUGAAACGAAGGAAGAAUCUGACAUUUGCUGAGCAGGUGCUGCGUCCCAUGAGCACUGCAAGGCAUUCAUUCCCUCUUUCUUGUAUCUUUCUAGAACCCUACGCAAAGACAGUAUUUAAACUCAUCUCUGCCCAGAUACACAGCCCUAGCUCUUUACCCGGUACUUUGCAGCCAUGGAUAUCUUCCACACUUAGGGUUGUAAUUCCAGUAUUUUACUUUUGUUUGUGUUCAACUUUUAUUCCUUAUCAAAUAAGUUCCUUCCUCCUCAUCUUCUCUAUCCCACAUCCCACCCUGCCAUCCUUGAAGAGGUACGAUGCCUUCUGUUUUACUGUCGUGUGCCUUGGUGACUACUAAUUCUGAACAAUAAUAUCUUUCUUUGAAUUUUAAUAAAAGUAUUGUUAUGCUUUGAACUUGAUGUGGCCCUUAGAGACUUAAGUUUUAAAGAUUGGCAGACAGCUGAUGGGUUUUGGGGAAGUGGCUGAUUGGGUCAUAAGGAACCUAACCUAAGUAGUGUUUGAACCAAUUGCUGAAAUCAUAGUUGAUUAUUGCAAAGGGUGGGAGAUGAGGGCUGGUUCUGAUUGUGCUGCUGAGGGGGCUUUGAAGUGUGUGCCUGCCCCUGAACUCUUCCUCUGCCUAUUUCCUCUGUUCAUCCCAACCAUAUGAGGCAAGCAGACAUUCCUCCUACUCAGAUAUUCUAGCCUCACCCAGCAAUGGAGGCAGCCUAACAGACUAAAACAGUGGAUCUCAAUCUGCGGCUCCUGACUUCUUUUGGGUGGUUGCCUAUCAGAUAUCCUGCUUAUCAGAUAGUUACAUCAUGAUUCAUAGUAGUAGCAAAUUACAGUCAGUUAUAAAGUAGCAAGGAAAAUAAUGUUGUGGUUUGGGGGGUGGGAGGGUCAGCACAAUAUGAGGAACUGUAAUAAAGCGUUGUAGCAUCAGAAAUGUGGACUAAAGCAUAUGAAACCAUGAGCCAAACAAAAUAAAGCUUUCUUUUCUUUUUAUUUUCCUUUUUUUCUUUCAGGUGCUGUUCUUGUGUGCUCUGUCUCUGCGGCAUAAAGUCUGACCAAUGCAGGACCCAUAAUGCUUC
rnacentral:lncRNA from 1 species